UGGGGAAUAUUGGGCAAUGGAGGAAACUCUGACCCAGCAACGCCGCGUGAAUGAUGAAGGUCUUCGGAUUGUAAAGUUCUUUUCUAAGGGAAGAAGAAAGUGACGGUACCUUAGGAAUAAGCCUCGGCUAACUACGUGCCAGCAGCCGCGGUAAUACGUAGGAGGCAAGCGUUAUCCGGAAUGACUGGGCGUAAAGGGUGCGUAGGUGGUUUGACAAGUUGGUAGCGUAACUCCGAGGCUCAACCUCGGCACUACUACCAAAACUGUUGGACUCGAGUGCAGGAGGGGCAAAUGGAAUUCCUAGUGUAGCGGUGGAAUGCGUAGAUAUUAGGAGGAACACCAGUGGCGAAGGCGAUUUGCUGGACUGUAACUGACACUGAGGCACGAAAGCGUGGGGAGCAAACAGG
rnacentral:rRNA from 1 species